rnacentral:tRNA from 1 species
GAGGGUAUAGCUCAAGUGGUAGAGCAUGUGCUUAGCAUGCAUGAGGUCCUGGGUUCAAUCCCCAGUACCUCCA